ensembl:lncRNA
GCUGAGUUUGCACAGAACUGGAAAAAAAAAUGUCUAUUUCUUUAUCUUUGUAAUUUCACAUUAAUUUUGUGUUGCAUGGAGGCACCGUAAUGGAAACUUAUUACAUUUAUAUUGCAAUUUUUGAGAAAAUAGCUUCACAUUUUCUAUCUAUUUGAUGUAUUGCUAUUGUGAGUAUGAUGUCUAACAUGAAUAGAAAAGGAAUGAUGCCUGCCUACACGAGAAGGGAUAAACUGCUAUUUUUCAUGGCUUUUUAUUUGGAAUAUGCUUGUGUUAAAAUAUAAAAAAAAACAGUGCAAAGAUUUGGGUUCUGGUUCCUGCCAAACCAUUACAGUUAGCAUUAGGGUGAGGUAUAAGACACCAAGGUAUUAUUAUGAAUAUUAAUGUUUUUUUGUUUUUUUUUCCCUGAUGCAUUGCCUUUUAAUAAUUUUUCACUUUUUCUUAAGAAUUGAAUAGGGUUCCUUUGUAGUUGGUCAUUUCAUUUGAGUCUCAUGUUUGAGUUGUUAAUAUCUUUAUUUCCCAGCAGAAACCAAAUAAAGCUUUUUGCAGUGGUAUUUUGUGUUUCGUUUAUGCUUGAAAAAUCCACCCUGAGACAUGUUAAACAUGUUCAUAUUGAGUGCUAAAAGCAUUCUGGUGCUAAGAAGUUAGCAGUUGCACUGAUGCCACAGGAGAACAUUGCUGGAGCAGUUACAAUGGUGUUUAACAGGAAAAUAAAAUAGUCAUCUCAAAAAAAUCACGAGUCAGAUUUUGCUGUUAGUAAAAAAUAAAGAGCAUCUUUUCUUACCAAUUUUCAAUGUCAUAUUAAAGAGAAAUCCAUUGUAGAAUUAGGGAAGGCAAUAAAGGUUGGACUCAAAGUUCCAGAAUGCAAAUGCUACUAUACAACGCAGCUGUUCUGAGUUAUGGAAAAGACCUGACCUGGCUUGUUAGCGAGCUGUGAAAUGACAAGCAUGAUAGCUUUGACACGGUUAUUAGCUGACUGAGAAUUCUGGGAUAUGGUGUUUGUGGUUGUUCACUGUGAUGUGGCUUACUGAGGAUUCUGGGAGUUGAUGUUUAUGACAGUAGACAGACAAUGUGAAGUACACCGACAGCCAUAACAUUAAAACCACUGACAGAUGAUGUACAGUGACACCUGUCAAGGGGUGGGAUAUAUUUGGCAGCAAGUGAAGAGUUAGUUCUCAAAGUUGAUGUGUUGGAGGCAGGAAAAAUGGUAAGCGUAAGUAUCUGAGCGACUUGGACAAGGUCCAAAGUGUAUGGCUAGAUGACUGGGUCAGAACAUCUCCAAAACAUCUCAUGUUCCCGGUAUGCAGUGGUUAGUACCUACAAAAAGUGGUCCAAGGAAGGAAAACCAGUGAACCAGCAACAGGGUCAUGGGCGGCUCAGGAAUGGUUUGAUGAACAUGACAAAAAGUUCAAGGUGUUGACUUGUCCUCCAGAUUCCCCAGAUCUCUAUCAUAUCGAGCAUCUGGGGGAUGUGCUGGACAAACAAG